UAAAAAUUUAUUAAUAUUGCUACGCUUUCGAAAAUAAUUUAAUAGUGACGGAUAUCGGGUAUCUUAGCGUUGAACACGAAUCGACUGCAGCUCACUUGUUAAUAAAUAUGUCACACUGUUAAGAAGUCACGCACCUGGCUCAUAAGUGUAAUGGCAAUAGCACAAAGCAACUUGGAUGGAGAGCAUUAACCAGAAAGCACGCAUUGUCGCGACAAACGAAUUUUUUGAUGAAUU